rnacentral:misc_RNA from 1 species
AAACAAGAAUUAUUCAGAACACAUCUGAAUAAUUUGGGCCUAAUAAUUCGAGCGCAAGUACUUACUCCAGCUACUACCAUUUACACUGAAGGACUGUGCAACGACAACAUUUCUAAUGACUUUAAUUUGGUGACUAAAAUUAAUGGCGACUGGCUUUUUGAACUGUGACUGGCAUCAUUUCAUUGACUGAUUUUUUCUGUUUUCGACUUGACUUUAACCCCGGGAUUUUCAAAUCAUUUCAGAAUGUGUCACGAUCUAAGCACUGAUUUGCUUUCAGGUAUGAUAGCAAUUGACCAACAUGGGAACAUAGCAGCCGGAACAUCAACAAAUGGAAUGAACCACAAAAUCGCUGGCCGAGUCGGGGACUCUCCCAUUCCUGGAGCACGAGCUUACGUGGAUAAGGACGUUGGUGGAGCUGCAGGGACUGGUGAUGGGGAUGUUAUGUUAAAGUUUUUGCCCAGGUACGCCCUGAACGUACAUUAGUCACAGGUUUCUGUGGUGGAAAACUCGCCGAGUUUCCAUGCAGUUGAGCUUCCCCGUCAAGGUUACAGCCCAACACGGGCUGCCAGAAUGGCUCUUAAGAAAAUAGCGCAGUAUUAUCCAACCCUCAGAGGGGGACUGAUAACUGUGACAAAGGAUGGCAGAGACGGCAUUGAAAAAAAGUACUAUAGGGGAACUAUCAUGAACUUGAAUUCGAAACUUAACAAAACAAAGUACAUAUUUCCGUUAAUAGAAACCAGGAGAGUAUUGAUCUUCUCUUGUAGAAACCUAAAAUUAAUGAUCUAGUUUUAUUAAAAACAAAAGUUGUGAAUGGACAUUGUCAAAAUUUACCUUAUAAUCUCAGAUUUGAGAAGUUUGAGAGACUUUUCAGUAUCUUUCCUUGUGUCUUGGAAAAAUCGAUAAGAACUAAUCAAAACCUGCUCGCUUUUUAACAACUCAUUUCAUUUCUUCCCGUUGCCAGCAAAGAUUCUGUGUACUUAGAGGAAGGCCUGAAUGAGGAUCGAAUAGCCAAUUGAGAAUAAACCCACACUUAACAAGUCCAAGAUAAAGUUCAUGUACAUGUUGAUCGGGUCUAGGCAAAAGCUGGGUACUUCUAAAUAAUAGUUAUCCGACUCUUACCAUCGAUGGAAGCUCUUUAAAGUAAUUU